GAUGGAACAGCCGGGCCAAGCAGCGAGGCUUGAACGGGAGGCAAAUCCCCUGUUCUAUAAGGCUGAGCUGUGAAGGGGAUCGAAAAAACAAGUAGAGAAGUCUCCGAUUUCACGCUGUCAGGAAAAACUUCUAUCCAGAGAAAGUCCACCCGUACCGCAAACCGACACAGGCAGGCGAGGAGAGAAUCCUAAGAUGAGCGGGAGAAGUGUUGUUAAGGAACUCGGCAAAAUAACUCCGUAACUUCGGGAGAAGGAGUGCCUAAGCAAUUAGGCCGCAGAGAAGAGGCUCAAGCGACUGUUUAGCAAAAACACAGGUCUCUGCUAAAUCGAAAGAUGACGUAUAGGGGCUGACGCCUGCCCGGUGCUGGAAGGUUAAGAGGAGAGCUUAGCGUAAGCGAAGGUUUGAAUUGAAGCCCCAGUAAACGGCGGCCGUAACUAUAACGGUCCUAAGGUAGCGAAAUUCCUUGUCAGGUAAGUUCUGACCCGCACGAAAGGCGUAACGAUUUGAGCGCUGUCUCGACAACACACCCGGUGAAAUUGUAGUACUCGU
rnacentral:rRNA from 1 species